rnacentral:rRNA from 1 species
CGAAGGGGGCUAGCGUUGCUCGGAAUUACUGGGCGUAAAGGGCGCGUAGGCGGACAGUUUAGUCAGAGGUGAAAGCCCAGGGCUCAACCUUGGAAUUGCCUUUGAUACUGGCUGUCUUGAGUUCGGGAGAGGUGAGUGGAAUGCCGAGUGUAGAGGUGAAAUUCGUAGAUAUUCGGCGGAACACCAGUGGCGAAGGCGACUCACUGGCCCGAUACUGACGCUGGGGCGCGAAAGCGUGGGGAGCAAACAGGAUUAGAUACCCUGGUAGUCCACGCUGUAAACGAUGAGUGCUAGUUGUCGGCAUGCAUGCAUGUCGGUGACGCAGCUAACGCAUUAAGCACUCCGCCUGGGGAGUACGGUCGCAAGAUCA